GUCAGCGGCGGCGGCGGCGGCGGCGGCAGGGACUUGCAGUGCGUGAGCUGCAUGGUACCAGAGCACCACUGCCCAGGGUGUGCACCUUGAGACGUUCCAAGGCCCCUGCAGGCUUGAUUUCAGUUCGGAGGUCCACAGCUGCAGGAAAAGAAACCCAGCAAGCACCUGGAUGAGGAGCCUUCAUUGAUGUCCACUUGGCUGACAGACGCCCUUCAGGAAUCAACUGUGGACUACAAACUGCUCCAAAACUGACUCUGCAGUCUGGACUGGAGGAAAGCUGAUGUGAACCAGGCCAGCCGAUGUGCUUGCUCCCUGUCUCUUCAGCUGGGUCAUCUAACUGGAUGCCUCUGAUGCAUGUCCCAUCGCCGGAAUCCCUCCCUGCCUUUGACUAACAUUCCAGCCUUCCUAGGCCCUGGCAACAUCCUUGUUUCAGCAGGAAGUAGUUACAGAAGAGAGUUCGUCGCCCCCUUGCCCCCAACAGGCUGGAAUGUUAGAUCAAAAGGACGUUCACUGGUGUGGGGGACAAAAUGGCUACCUAUACUGCCUAUUGGCAUACUAGGAAAGGUACCUGUUAAACUCAGAGACCCAGAUCUAUCAACAGGUAGAUUCAUUAGCUGAAAUAGUUCUACAGAGUGGCGGGGCAUGGGAUCGGUUUUAUGCAGC
rnacentral:lncRNA from 1 species